rnacentral:rRNA from 1 species
UAAGGAAUAUUGGACAAUGGACGAAAGUCUGAUCCAGCCAUGCCGCGUGAAGGAUUAAGGUCCUCUGGAUUGUAAACUUCUUUUAUAUGGGGCGAAAAAAGGGCAUUCUUGCUCACUUGACGGUACCAUAUGAAUAAGCACCGGCUAACUCCGUGCCAGCAGCCGCGGUAAUACGGAGGGUGCAAGCGUUAUCCGGAUUUACUGGGUUUAAAGGGUGCGUAGGCUGAUAGGUAAGUCAGUGGUGAAAUCCUGGAGCUUAACUCCAGAACUGCCAUUGAUACUAUCUAUCUUGAAUAUUGUGGAGGUUUGCGGAAUAUGUCAUGUAGCGGUGAAAUGCUUAGAUAUGACAUGGAACACCUAUUGCGAAGGCAGCAGGCUACACAUAUAUUGACGCUGAGGCAC